rnacentral:rRNA from 1 species
GUCAUUCGAGCAUCGAUUUUGAUACAUAUAAGGUGUCCUACGGAUAAUGCAAAUCGAAGCUAUUUGAUGUCUGACUCAGGCCUAUAUGACCGAUCGAUCGAAAUACUCCAAGACUCCACCUUUGUCAUAUAUAUAUUUUUUUUAAUAAAAAUCGCUAAAAAUAAGGAGAAUUUGGCCAUCGUGAUUAGGGUCGCUCGUUUUUUAACUUUACUUUAG